CUCCAAAAUCACUCCACGCGCACGACACUGAAUCUGCAGCAACCCAAAAUUGCGAGUUCUCCCUUUCCCCACCCACACCCCGCUCAAAUCCUCCCACUCGAACUCCACCCAAAUCUGCCAUGGUUGCGCGCGCGAGCGGAUGCCGCCUGCUCGGUUUGGUGCUCAGUGGGGUGGCGAGCACGAGGGAUGGGAGCGGAGCAGCGGUGGAGGCCCUCUUCGGCGUCACUUGCGCUUGUGCGGAGGCCGCCUCCAAUUCGCCGUUCCAUGGCGCGCGCGUGCGUGGAGGCUGCCGUCACGUCCGCCAUCUCGUCGCGGUAGGACUAGGAGAAGGCGGUGAACGUGCAGGUCCUCCUCCGCUGCAGGCUCUUCAGUGACGAUGAGCUCCGAAAUAACGCACAACAGGUCAUCACAUUCAACGACUACCAGCGUUAGGUCGCCAUCACGCAGAGCAUCGACAUGAAGCAGUUCGACCAAGUCUUCAGCUUCGACAAGGAAGCAAGCGCAGCCAUGUGGAUAACAGAUGAUGGCAAGGCAACAUUUAGGCAGUAUGCAGAGAUGAGAGAAUCCGUCCACAUAGAUGAGGUCUACUCUAGAUCAAUCAUGUACCUGAAGCUUCUAUGAUCUUUUUUUUGUUAUAUAGGUAGGGAGACAUGUAAUGCAACCCCAAUUGCUAUUCUGAGCUUGCGCCACCCAUUGUGCGGGUGGACUGACUAGUUUUUUUAUCUACUUGUGUUGCACGAUGUGGUGCUUCAUGGUGUAUUGCACGAGUGAUGCUUGAUGUAACUUUUCUCAUCUUAUGUGAUGCUAUGUAAAAAUGAGAUCAUAUGUGCUGCGAGAUUGAGUUCUUAUG